GUUGGCGGCGUGGAUUAGGCCUGCAAGUCGAGCGAGAACCCGCAAGGGGGACAGCGGCAAACGGGGUAGUAACGGGUAGGCGACGUACCCUUCGGUCGGGGAUAGCCACGGGAAACUGUGGGUAAUACCCGAUAAUCUCUUCGAGCGUGAUAGCUGGGAGAGCAAAGGUGUGAUUCCACCGGAGGAGCGGCCUGCUUCGUAUUAGCUAGUUGGUGAGGUAACGGCUCACCAAGGCGACGAUGCGUAGGGGGUGUGAGAGCAUGACCCCCACCACUGGGACUGAGAUACUGCCCAGACACCUACGGGUGGCUGCAGUCGAGAAUCUUCGGCAAUGGGCGCAAGCCUGACCGAGCGACGCCGCGUGUGGGAUGAAGGCCCUUGGGUUGUAAACCACUGUCAGAGGGGAUGAAGUGCCGGAGGGCAAUCUCUCC
rnacentral:rRNA from 1 species